CAGUCGCCGCGGUAAUACAGAGGGUGCAAGCGUUAAUCGGAAUUACUGGGCGUAAAGCGCGCGUAGGUGGUUCGCCAAGUUGGAUGUGAAAUCCCCGGGCUCAACCUGGGAACUGCAUCCAAAACUGGCGAGCUAGAGUAUAAUAGAGGGUGGUGGAAUUUCCUGUGUAGCGGUGAAAUGCGUAGAUAUAGGAAGGAACAUCAGUGGCGAAGGCGACCACCUGGACUGAUACUGACACUGAGGUGCGAAAGCGUGGGGAGCAAACAGGAUUAGAUACCCCUGUAGUCCCUGUCUCUUAUAC
rnacentral:rRNA from 1 species